UCCGAGUUGACCCCGGCAGUCUUCUACGAGUCCCCGGCAUAAUCCGCUGGCAACAUAGGGUAAGGGUUGCGCUCGUUGCGGGACUUAACCCAACAUCUCACGACACGAGCUGACGACAGCCAUGCAGCACCUGUGUUCCGAUUCCCUUUCGGGCACACCCCCAUCUCUGGAGGCUCUCGGACAUGUCAAGGGUAGGUAAGGUUUUUCGCGUUGCAUCGAAUUAAUCCACAUAAUCCACCGCUUGUGCGGACCCCCGUCAAUUCCUUUGAGUUUCAACCUUGCGGUCGUACUCCCCAGGUGGCUUACUUAACGGUUUCCCUUGGACGCACAACCUCAAGGGCCAUACGUCGAGUAAGCAUCGUUUAGGGCGUGGACUAC
rnacentral:misc_RNA from 1 species